AAGCAACUGAAAGCUCUCUGUCUAAUCAUGAUCUUUGAUUGGUAAUUUUUCAGGAAUCCAACCAUAAAAGAUGUAGUGAUGGCCUGGGAUGUCUAAUAACAAGGAAACAUUACUGGAGUGGCUACAUAUCAAGCUCAAAACAGAGAGGUCUCUUUUGCUGAAUUUGAGAAUUGUACAUGAGACGAAAUAAACAAGUUUGGGAACAAAAGAUGGAACCGCCUUUGGAGGAAGUAACAUCAGAGAGCAAAGAGGCGAAUAGCAUAAUAUAUCACGAUAUCCUCUGGCAAUUUGGG